rnacentral:lncRNA from 1 species
UUUACAAGCUUUUAUUUAGUUUCACCUGUCCCGUUGUCUGUAAUCAAAUCUUGCAACUUAAAUUUGAUCCACUUCCCGGUUUCCGAUUGAGCUGAAAUUUAGAAUGCAUGUAUAGAUCGGAUGACAAUGCAAUGUUAUUGUGACAAAUAGCUGAUCUGAUGAUGGAGCCGGAAGGUGGCCAUAGGAACUCCGUAAUUAAACGACGCAACCCCAUCGAGUUUGGGCUCAUUGGAUUAGUCUUGACGAGUACUUUGAUACUAUAUGGUAACCAGGGUCUGAUGUUGGAGCCGGAAGGUGGCCAUAGGAACUCCGUAAUUAAACGACGCAACCCCAUCGAGUUUGGUCUCGUUUGAUUCAUCUUGACGAGUCUCUUGCUUUCGUCCCAUAUUAAUUAUAUAUGAUUGAUUGGAUGGAUGACCCAAUGCCAAGGUGAGCACGUGCCGAGGGCUGAAUGGUAUGAGGGUGUAUAAACAUGUCUUGCCGCUAACGUUGCGCCUCAGGGUACCAGGGCGAACCCUGUUGUAUUGUAGCCCUUAUCCCUCUACAACGGACCUCUGGGGGGAUGGACCGUUAUUUGUC